AUUGAACGCUGGCGGCAGGCCUAACACAUGCAAGUCGAGCGAGCGGCGGACGGGUGAGUAAUGUCUGGGAAACUGCCUGAUGGAGGGGGAUAACUACUGGAACCGGUAGCUAAUACCGCAUACCAUCAGAUGUGCCCAGCUGGGAUUAGCUGGUAGGUGGGGUAACGGGUCACCUUGGCGACGAUCCCUAGCUGGUCUGAGAGUAUGACCAGCAGCACUGGAACUGAGACACGGUCGAGACUCCUACGGGAGGAAUAAGGGGGGAAUAUUGAACAAUGGGCUGAAGCCUGAUGCAGCAAUGCCGCGUGUGUGAAGGAGGCCUUCGGGGUGUAAAGCACUUUCAGAGGGGAGGCGUUGCCCGAAGAAGAGGCACCGGCUAACUCCGUGCCAGCAGCCGCGGUAAUAC
rnacentral:rRNA from 1 species